AAGUCGUAACAAGGUUUCCGUAGGUGAACCUGCGGAAGGAUCAUUAAAAAUAUAACCGGACCGGUUCGUUGCUUGCAGCGGGCUGCGAAGGGAGAUAUUAUAUACCCUGUACUUACCUACCUUUGUUGCUUUGGCGGGUCGUCCGUUCAGGCGUCGGCCCCGGCCGAUCGUGCCCGCCAGAGGACCCAAACUCUUUUAUUAGUGAUGUCUGAGUACUAUACAAUAGUUAAAACUUUCAACAACGGAUCUCUUGGUUCUGGCAUCGAUGAAGAACGCAGCGAAAUGCGAUAAGUAAUGUGAAUUGCAGAAUUCAGUGAAUCAUCGAAUCUUUGAACGCACAUUGCGCCCGCUGGUAUUCCGGCGGGCAUGCCUGUCCGAGCGUCAUUAUGACCAAUCAAGCUCUGCUUGGCCUUGGGGCCUGCUAUACCAGCGGCUCUUAAAACCAGUGGCGGUGCCGUCUGGCUCUAAGCGUAGUAAUUCUCCUCGCUAUAGGGCUCUAGACGUCCACCCGCCAGAACCCCCAAACUUCUCAGGUUGACCUCGGAUCAGGUAGGGAUACCCGCUGAACUUAAGCAUAUCAAUAAGCGGAGGAAAAGAAACCAACAGGGAUUGCCUUAGUAACGGCGAGUGAAGCGGCGACAGCUCAAAUUUGAAAUCUGCCUCUAGGCCGAGUUGUAAUUUGUAGAAGAUGCUUCGGGUGUGGCACCGGUCUAAGUUCCUUGGAACAGGACGUCAUAGAGGGUGAGAAUCCCGUACGUGACUGGCCGCCUUCGCCCGUGUGAAGCUCUUUCGACGAGUCGAGUUGUUUGGGAAUGCAGCUCAAAAUGGGUGGUAUAUUUCAUCUAAAGCUAAAUAUUGGCCAGAGACCGAUAGCGCACAAGUAGAGUGAUCGAAAGAUGAAAAGCACUUUGGAAAGAGAGUUAAACAGUACGUGAAAUUGUUGAAAGGGAAGCGCUUGCAACCAGACUUGCGCGCUGUCGAUCAUCCGAGGUUUUCCCCGGUGCACUCGGCGGCGUUCAGGCCAGCAUCGGUUUCAGUGGUUGGAUAAAGGCCUUGGGAAUGUGGCUCCUCCGGGAGUGUUAUAGCCCUCGGUGCAAUGCAGCCUACUGGGACCGAGGACCGCGCUUCGGCUAGGAUGCUGGCGUAAUGGUUGUAAGCGACC
rnacentral:rRNA from 1 species